rnacentral:rRNA from 1 species
GGGUUCUAACGAACUCCCCCAAACCCGCUGCGAACGUACCUGCUAGUCUGCUUCGGCGGGCGGUCCCCGGGGGGGAUCUCCAGCCCGCCUCCGGGCGGGUGCCCGCCGCGAGACCACUGGAAACUCUGCCGUACCUGUCGUCUGAGAAAGAAAGCCUGCCGAGAGGCAGCGCGAAUUCAGUCAAAACUUUCAACAACGGAUCUCUUGGUUCUGGCAACGAUGAAGAACGCAGCGAAAUGCGAUAAGUAAUGUGAAUUGCAGAAUUCCGCGAAUCAUCGAAUCUUUGAACGCACAUUGCGCUCACCAGUAUUCUGGUGAGCAUGCCUGUCCGAGCGUCGUUUCGACCGCUCGAGCCCCCCCUCCCCAGGGCACCGGCUCGGUGAUGGGGCGCUACGGCACGCCGCAACGCGCGCCGUAGGCCCCGAAACGCAGUGGCGGCUCCCGUACGAACACCGAACGUAGUAGAUCAGCUGUUCGCAGCGCCUCGUUCAGGGCGUCCUGCGGGUGCUCCGGCCAUUAAACCCCAACUCACGCAAGGUUGACCUCGGAUCAGGUAGGAAUACCCGCUGAACUUAAGCAUAUCAAUAA